GGCGCUGUUGCCUAACGGUUAGCGCGUUGGACUGUGGAUUGAGCGGUCCGGGUUCGAUCCCUGGCCGGGGUCA